GCUUUCGUGGUGUAACGGUAGCACACUCGGCUCGUAUUCUAGAGGUCUAAGUUCGAGACCCGGCGAGGGCA
rnacentral:tRNA from 1 species